CCUACGGGAGGCUGCAGUGAGGAAUAUUGGUCAAUGGCCGUAAGGCUGAACCAGCCAAGUCGCGUGAAGGAAGAAGGAUCUAUGGUUUGUAAACUUCUUUUAUAGGGGAAUAAAGGUAUCCACGUGUGGAUAUUUGCAUGUACCCUAUGAAUAAGCAUCGGCUGACUCCGUGCCAGCAGCCGCGGUAAUACGGAGGAUGCGGGCGUUAUCCGGAUUUAUUGGGUUUAAAGGGUGCGUAGGUUGUUUUUUAAGUCAGCGGUGAAAGUUUGUGGCUCAACCAUAAAAUUGCCGUUGAAACUGGAAGACGUGAGUGUGUUUGAGGUAGGCGGAAUGCGUGGUGUAGCGGUGAAAUGCAUAGAUAUCACGCAGAACUCCGAUUGCGAAGGCAGCUUACUAAGCCAUAACUGACACUGAAGCACGAAAGCGUGGGGAUCAAACAGGAUUAGAUACCCCAGUAGUC
rnacentral:rRNA from 1 species